rnacentral:rRNA from 1 species
UACGUAGGUGGCAAGCGUUACUCGGAAUCACUAGGCGUAAAGCGCAGGUAGGCGGUUUGAUAAGUCUCUUGUGAAAGCUCCCGGCUCAACUGGGAGAGGUCAAGGGAAACUGUCAGGCUAGAGUGUGGCAGAGGAAGCUAGAAUUCCCGGUGUAGCGGUGAAAUGCGUAGAUAUCAGGAGGAACACCGGUGGCGAAGGCGGGUCUCUGGGCCGAUACUGACGCUGAGGAGCGAAAGCGUGGGGAGCGAACGGG